GAAUAUAUUUAUUAUUGUUCUAUGUUAUAACUGAAGUCAUGUUUUGCAUGAGAAAUUACCAAAUAUGGUAAUUAUAACGGGAAGCGGUUUAUAUAUAAACCGGGUUGUAACGUGUUAAAGUCACUUUGAGGUCAGAUACAGGCAGUCAAACUAAACUGAUCGAAUGAAUUGUCAAAUUUUCUGUAAGAUUGAAGCAGAGUGAAAGAAUAUUCAUCCAUAUGUAAAGGAUUUAAAUAAGUGUUUGAGUGUAGAUGGUUUCUUGGACAUUGAAGUGAUUUUUUUUUCCCUUCUCAUCUUUUGUGUUAAGAGAUGGACUCAAAAGACCAUAUUUCUGGUCAUAUUUUUGCGAGAAACCAUCGCAGUGUGCUUGUGUUUUGUAACUAUCAAUGAAUAAAAUGCCUGUAUUGACCACACCUAUAUAA